rnacentral:lncRNA from 1 species
AUCUCACCAGCCUCCUCCAUGCCAGGCUCGGGCUCUUCCUGCUCCUGGAACAAGCUCCGGACUCGGGGCAUUCGCCGCAGAUGCUGCAUCUCCGAAGCUCUCGGCUGGUAGAGAGCAGCCGCCACAUGCUCUGGGGCGGCAGGGCUGAGCUGCCAAGAGCUCCUGGCCAUGACCUUGGUGCAUGGAGUCCAGAGGGGGCUGGGGAAGACCUUCUCUUCACACUCGAGGAUGCACACCUGCAAAGAUACGGGUGAGAGGAGGGGAGAAGGAACAAGGACCUCUGUUAAUCCAGGGCGAGGGAGGAGAUCUGGCCCACUGCACCAGUGCAAGUGCUUCUGAAGCAUCUAAGUUAUCAAGUAACGUGGAGCAGUUUUACACAGGUUUUAGGUUCGUAGAAUUUCAGAAUUGGAAACAAACAGAGAAUCAUCUGACCCAGCUCCAUCAUUUUACAAAGAAACCAGGGCUCAGAGAGGUGAGCGUAACUUACCUCUGGUGUCACAGCACGUUAACAUAGGAAGUUAACACAGGAUAAAUGCGCCCAACACCGCACCUUGUUACAUCUUUAGUCGGGUUUUUGGAGCCAAGCACAGCUCAUGACUGUCACCCAUAAAGAAUUUUAUUUUGUUCUCUCUUCAGGCUUGUGGGAGGUCACAUGGGUUAAAGAAAUUGGGGAUGUGAAAGUAUGUAGUCAAAUCUGCAGGUUUAUUUUAAGGUCACCAUGUAAAGAUCUACCUAGGUGUUGUUAAUUUUUCAUCCCGCGUACAGCAGUCGUCACUAUCUGUGUAUCAUUUAUAGCAAAUGGGGUCAAGACCCUGUGGGGUGGUAGGCCGGCUGGACGUGCGGGGCUGAACCUGUGAUCCAGUUCCAGGUGUGGGGAGAGAUGCCAUCAUCAGACCAGAGCCCAGCAGACCCGCUCGGCUCCUAGGAACACUCUGCUCUGCCUCUCCUGCCAACCCUGACUUCUAGCCACCAGCUGGACCACGAUGUUUCUCCAGCCCCUCUUGGCUGGUUCUGACCUUGGCCCCCCACCUCCCACGUUCUUGGUUCUGAUUGGGUCUCCUGGAAGCCUCUGCCCCCAGCUUUUCUUCCUAUUUGCUGUUUUGGCUUCACCCCUAAUUUCAGUCCAGGUUUCUGGCCUUAGCCGGCUGGAAACCCCACUUCAACCUGACCUUACUGCUGUGAGUCAGUAGGCAGAGCUCCUCAUCAUAGCGUGGAGCUCCUGCCUGGCUUCCAGGUCACCUUCUGGGGCAGAGGCUGCAACUGGCCCGUAUUCAUCUCCCCUUCUCCUUAUGCACAGAACACUGUUUUAUUCCUAAAGGCAACGUAUAUGUUUCCCAAGCUUCCUUGGAGCCAUAAGUAGCUGACGACAUAAAAAUGGAAGUGUAGGCCGGGUGCGGUGGCGCACGCCUGUAAUCCCAGCACUUUGGGAGGCCGAGGCGGGUGGAUCACGAGGUCAGGAGAUCGAGACCAUCCUGGCUAACAUGGUGAAACCCCAUCUCUACUAAAAAUACAAAAAAAAAAAAAAAUUAGCUGGGCGUGGUGGCGGGCGCCUGUAGUCCCAGCUACUCAGGAGGCUGAAGCAGGAGAAUGGCGUGAACCCGGGAGGCGGAGCUUGCAGUGAACCGAGAUCGUGCCACUGCACUUGACGCUGGGCGACAGAACGAGACUCCGUCUCAAAAAAAAAAAAAAAAAAAGGAAACGUAAUCCCAGAACUUUGGGAGGCCAAAGCAGGCGGAUCACUUGAGGCCAGGAGUUUGAGACCAGCCUGGCCAACAUGGCAAAAACCCAUCUCUGCUAAAAAUACAAAAAUUAGACGGGUGUGGUGAUGGCUGCCUGUAAUCCCAGCUACUGGGGAGGCUGAAGCAAAAGAGUUGCUUGAACCUGGGAGGCGGAGGUUGCGGUGAGCUAUCAUGUCACUGCACUCCAGCCUGGGUGACAGAGUGAGACUUUGCCUAAAAAGAAAAAAAAGGUGAUCGGGCAUCAGAUGGGGUUUCCAAGAAAGUAGGAGACUGACUUAAGUGGGAAGAACAUUCCGUUUUCCUCUUCCUCCAACUUUCUGUUUGGAAUGUGGACAUUUGGGCUGACAUUGUGUUUGCCAUCUAGAAACCAUGCAGCGACUCAAAGGAUGGGAGUCAUGGGCUAGAAGCUGCCGACUGGCAGAGAAGAGAGAGGAGACUGGAGCUGCCACUGCAGCCCUGGGCUGUUCCCUUCUCACUCCUUGUGAGGAACUGAAUCUAUUGAUUUCAGCCGCUGUCACUUUAGAUGUUUGUUACUAGCAGGUGAAUUUCAUUCUUAUCUGAUAUAUUUGUCCUUCUGCUUGGCCUCUCGGUCCCUGUCUCUGAGUGGCACCUCACUCCCCAGUUGACUCAGAUUUCAAACCCUGGGCAUAUCUUUUCCUCCUCUCUCACUGCCCCCAUCCUGCCAGUCUACAGUUCUGCCCCUCCUCCCACUCCCUCUACCACCGCCUAAGUGCCUCUUAGGUGAAGUGGGUCCCUAACUGAUCUCCGCAUCUCUGGUCUUUGCCACUGUCAUCAGUGUGGUACCCCUGGCAGGAUACUCUUCCUGAAGAGUAACUAAUCAUGUCAUUACCUUGCUCACAGCUGUCUAAUUGUUUAUCAUAUCCAUAAAACAGCUCCAAACUCUUGAGCAAAGCAUUCAAAUCCCUCUACCACCUGGUCCAGCCCACCAUCUAGGUCUUAUUUCCGAUUCUUCAUCACACACCCCUUGAGGCCUAUGAGGCUGUUCCUAGUGCCUUAAACACCGCAAAGCUCCUCGCACCUGCAUGCCUUUCUCUCUGUCCCUUGGAUGCAAUGACCUCCUUGCAUCCUUCCAUCCAUCCUUUGGGACCCAGACAAGCUCCAGUGCUGCCCCUCUCUGAUAACUUCUAGUUCCCUGGCAAGAAUCACUCUCUCCUGCCUCUGUCUUCCCACAGAACUUUGUAUUCCUCUUGUGGAAAUUUUAAUGCUUUAUGUCAUUAAAUUGCAAUACCUUCUAAGGCGGAAUAUGACAAGUUAGGGACCACAUCUUACUCAUGUGUGAAUCCCUUGCAGGAAUCUUCUCCUUCCAGUAAAGAGUAGGGUUCCAGUAGAGGUUAGUUGAACUGAGAUGAAUUAAUCAAGAAGUCACUCUAUAUUUAGCUAAGAGUAUAAAAGAAGGGAAUGAAAAGAGGUGAGAAAGAGUCCCUGGAAGAACAGGGGUCGCAGCUAGUUGCAACCAGGACUGGGACGCCCCUAGUGCUUAGCAUGCGCACUGUUGCAGGCAGCUCCUGUCACCCUGCUGCCACCCUUUGCUUAUCUGAUUACUCAUCUGUCCCAUUAGUCCAGGAUUCCAGGAUUCUUUUAUUCUUUUUUUUUUUUCCUUUGGAGACAGAGCCCACACCUGGUCUAAAGGGUCCCACACCUGGAUGUGAGUCCCAAUCACCUGCAGAGCUUUUAAAAACAGAAUUUCGGCUAGGCGCAGUGGCUCAUGCCUAUAAUCCCAGCACUUUGGGAGGCUGAGGCGGGCGGAUCAUCUGAGGUUGGGAGUUUGAGACCAGCCAGACCAACAUGGAGAAACCCUGUCUCUACUUAAAAUACAAAAAAUAAGCUGGGCGUGGUGGUGCAUGCCUGUAAUCCCAGCUACUCAGGAGGCUGAGGCAGGAGAAUCGCUUCAACCUGGGAGGCGGAGGUUGUGGUGAACCGAGACUGUACCACUGCACUCCAGCCUGGGCAACAAGAGUGAAACUCCUACUCAGAAAAAAACAAAACAGAAUUUCAAGACUCAACUAAAUCUCUGAAGAAUAGAAGCAGGGAUUAAAACUUAUUUUUACAAAGGAAUUAAAAACUUAAUUUUACAAAGUUCAGGUAAUUCCGAUAUUUGCCUGGGUUUGCAAAUCAUGAAUAUAAUUCAACCUUUGCAUUUUAUGAUGUGGUUGAGUAAUGUGUCCAAAACAACACGGUUAGAUAACAGUAUAACCUGAACAAGAACUCAAAGAUGCCUUGUGGCCCAGUCCAAGACAUCUACUCAGCUACCUCUGUGUGCUUGCAAUAUGAAUUGGUGGCAAUUAAUGCAAGAAGAAGGAUUCUAUGAGACCAAGAGCUGAGGUUUGGAUGGGAGUAUUGCCUAUGUUCCACUGGACUGGAAGGGACAGGCAGGGACUAGGUCUGACAGGAGUGUCCCUUUCCUUCCCUGGCAGGGUUUCCAAGAAGCAACCUGUCCAAGUCCACCUAUUAGUCACAGGAGGUGACACUGGCCCCUAGUGAUGCUCACGCCGUGGUUUUUCUGAGCAUGGCUUUUUCAUUUAGCUUUUGCUCAGAGAUGCUUAACACAUGGAACCUAGUUGCUGACAGAAUGACCUCAGCAGGGAGAGGAAGGGAACUACUUUUUCACACCUGCAAUGUUACUGAUUAUAAAAAAUGAUAGGUAACUUCCAUAGAUAGGGAGGGCUGCCUUAAGAACAAUGAAGUUGCAAACUUCUGGAGUAUUCUAUAAAAAUUGCUACUGUGCUGGGCAUGGUGGCUCCCGCCUAUAAUCCCAGUACUUUAGGAGGCCAAGGAGGGAGGCGCCUUUGAGCCCAGGAGUUUGAGAGCAGCCUGGGCAACAUAGGGAGACCUCAGCUCUACAAAAAUAAAAAUGUUAGUGGGGUGUGGUGGUGCAUGCCUACAGUUCUAGCUACUUGGGAGGCUGAGGUGAGAGGAUUGCUUGGGCCUGGGAAGUCAAGGCUGCAGUGAGCUGAGAUUGCUGUACUGCACUCCAGCCUUGGUGACAGAACGGGACUGUCUCAAAGAAAAAAAAAUGCUACUGGAGUUUGUUAGAAUGCAAAUUUUUAGCCUAAAGCAUUGGAGAUUCUGAUCCACUAAGUCAAGGGUGGGGCCCAGAAAUUUGUAUUUUUAGCAAUAGCUCAGGUGAUUCUGAGACUGGAUGAUACCUGGAGAAAUCCUGUUUUGGAACUUGCUCUGAGGAGGAAGAAGCCAUCACAGAACACGGUGGUUAAAGACUCCUACAGAGAAAGAGUCACCUGGGUCUGUACUUAGCCUGCUCCUGAAAUACUUGGAAGAAAACCAGCUAGAAUCAAUGUGUAGUAUAUUCUUUCAGAUCAGAAUCCUGUCGAGUUAGUACUCUACAGGCGUGGAUCUCAACUGGGAGUGAUUUUGCCCACUAAGGGGCCAUUUGGCAAUCUCUGGAGACAUUGUUGGUUGUCAGAACUGGUGUGUGUGUGUGUGUGUGUGUGUGUGUGUGUGUGUGUGUUACUGGCACCUAGAGGCCAGGGAUGCCAGUAAACAUCCUAAAGUGCCCAGGACAACCCCCACAACAAAUAAUUCCCCAGUCAAAAGUGCCCAUAGUGGCAAGUUUGAGAAACUCUGCUCUACAAAGUCAACAGGGAUGCAGAGAAGUGUGGCUAGCACUGGGAAAGUCAUAGAAGGGUAGAGUGGGGGAGCUGGAUCUGACUUUUGAGCAUGCUUGGCCCAAUCCUUGCAGAACAGGAGCCCCAAACUGCUUGUUGAAUUUUUCUGCUCCGUCAGUUUAUGGAAACAAGUGGAAGAGUUGUUAAACUUGGAGGUGCUUAGAUCUUCUGUGAGCCCCUGGGUUUCCAAGCCCAGAUAGUAAUUAGAUUUUGUGUCAGUCAGAGAAAAUGAAAUUGUGUGAUCAAACCAGAUGCCACAGUCCAUACCCAGACUUGAUGCACUGUUAGAUAAAUUAGAUGCUAACAAAAUCAUCUCAACUCUUGACUUAGGAGAGGGUUUUGGGCAAAUAGGAGGAAGCUAAAUUCACAACGCAUUUGUAGCACCAGAUGGGCAUAGGAGCUUAAUGCCUGACCCUCUGGUGCGGGGAACUCACCAGCCUUUUUCCAGAGAUGGGUUAAUGGCUUAUUAAGUGAGCUGGACACGUUUUGGCAGCCCACGCUGAUGGCAUUGCUAUAUUAAGCCAGAAUGCGUAUGGGCAUCUGGAGUCUCAGAUGGCUGCCAAAUUCAUCUGUAAAGCUGGGCUUAUGGGGAAAGUGAACAAAUGGCCUUUUGGGUGUCUGGGCUCAAAGAUUAGGGUACAAAGUGGGAAACAGGCAUAUGAACCCAUUGGGGAUGAAAGGAGCAGCUCACAAAGGUGGUCAAGUUUCUGCCACUAAAGAGUCACACCACUUCUGACCAAGAGACAUUUGGGAGCUAUUUGCUUUGUGAGGUCCUGCUAGAAUAUCUGAGGACAAAUACAGCAGAUGAGCAUAGAAGACAAACAUAUAAGGAACUCCUACUGCAAGUCACCUCAUUAGAAUUUUCAUCUCAUGAAGAUAGAAAGAACUACCAGAAGGUAGCUCGUUUUGCAGUAGAAUUUUAGGGAAUUUUAUUGAUUGAUUGAGACAGAGUCUUACUUUGUCCCCCAGGCUGGAGUGCAGUAGCAUGAUCUCAGCUCACUGAAAUCUCUGCCUUUUGGGUUUAAGUGAUUCUUCUGCCUCAGCCUCCUGAGUAGCUGGGAUUACAGGCAUGCAUCACCAUGCCCAGCUAAUUUUUGUAUUUUUAGUAGAGACAGGGUUUCGCCUUGUUGGCCAGGCUGGUCUAGAACUGCUGGCCUCAAGUGAUCCACCUGCCUCAGCCUCCCAAAAUGCUGGGAUUACAGGUGUGAGCCACUGCACCAGGCCAAAUUUUAGGGAGUUUGAAAUAAAUUUCCCCACACUCUUUCUUGGGAUUGGUUGCCUUAUUUUUGUCUCUAAAACAACUCAGUGAAUCCAGUUUUUUCUCCUUGAGCUGAUGAAGUAAGUACCAUUCACAAUUAGGUUAAAGGCCAGGACGUUGCAAUGGAUUUGGGUGUGAGUCAUUUACCAAUAAAAAUUAUAGUCUAACAACAAGCAGCCAUACUCAAAUAGUCUACUAGGAGCAGAAAUAAAAAGUUUCUUGAUGAAGCCAAGGAUCCAGAGGAUCCUGGGAAUAGCUCAGGAUUAUGUAAUUUGGUGGAAGGACUGGGGAAGUGACCCUUGCUGAAAUAUGAGUCCCCUGAUCAUUCACAGAAUGGACAUAGUCAAAGGCUGCCAGAUUUGGAAAUGGAUUUGAGUGCCUACAUUCUAGGCAUUUCAUUAAACUUAAACAUAGGUUAAAAGUGAAUACAAACUAGAAACAAAAACAAGCAGGCAGCCACAUCCUCCGGGGGGUUAGCGAGCACUGUGAAGGUGUUAGUCCCCCAUUGUGAGGCUUUUACAGGUCCAUUUUCUGACUUGUUUCAAAGAAGUAGAGCUGAUAAUGUUGUCUAGACCCCAGAUAUUUAAGAUGCUAUGGAGAGAUGCAGACAUGCUCCAAAUUUUUGAGUCUCUGAAAGAUGGAAAUGUAAAACCUUUACAGAGACUGCAGCAGAUGUGCCUAUUAGGAGACUAAUGGUCUUAGAAUCUUCCAAUUUCCACGGGAUGGGAUGUGUUUAUUGAGCUAUGCUCUGUGCCACACACUGUGCUGAGUGCUGGGAUACCCAGAUCCAUCAGUAAAGAAAGCUCACUCCAUAUGGGGAGAGAGAGUCCUGCAGAUACAACUAACAAUCAGAACAUGAGGAAGGAGGGCCCACUCCACUGGGGUGGGUGGAGAAUCAGUGCAAUGUUCUCUUACCAGAGGACACUUAAUCUGGGAUUUGAAGUGCGACUGGGAUUUAUGGAUGGGGGAGGAGGCUGUGGCAGGCACAAUGGCAGGGCAGGAAGAGAAGGCAGGAUUUCUGGGAACUAUGGAAAGUGAUUGGGAACACGGGUCUGGAGCCCAGGUGAGAGGAGUUCAGGAGGAUUCCUCUAGGAGUUUUCUGCAGCCUGGGAGGAGCAGAAGGCCUGGGAUGUAUGGGUGGGUUCUCAGAGGGAGGUGAAAAGCAGAGAAUCUUGGCGAUCCUUUAUGUGUAGGGAGUGGGGAGAGGACAAGGAACCAACACAGUAGCCAGAGUGAGGAAGAGAAUGAGGCACAUGGACCGAGAGAGGGCUGGUGUUCCUGAAGGAGGAAAUCAUCAGCAAGGUAGGAGCUCAGAGAGAAACACGGUGGAUGAGUAAGAGGAGACAUUUACUGUAACCACUUAACCGAGGGCCAACUGUAGACUAUAUUCAUGGAAAGUAAUAAUGUUAAUAACAUGGGAAAUUGAUCCUGGUAUAAUAUAGUAAGUGAAUUGGUUAACUGGAGAUGCCCUGGGUAGUUAUGACUGGUUGGAAAAUGGGCUUGAAAACCACUGAGCCCAAGAGCUUGGUGCUUUGGGUCUGCUGGAUUUUAUCUCCUCCUCUGUUAUCUGGAGGUGGGAGACACCAGGGUGUGUUAGUCCCCCUGCAAAUACUCGGUUCUACAUUUGUACAUUUGCCUUAAGGAACUGUGGUGCUUCUGGUGUUUUUGAAAGGUUAAGGGGUUUAAAAGAUGGCAUCUUUUGAAGGAAGUUAUUUGACUAUAAAGUAAAAAACAAUUGAGCUAUACUGGAUUUAAUAGGAGAGGAGUAACUAUCUGGACUGAAAUGUAGAUAGUUGACAAAGCAGUUUAUUUAAUGAAGAAAAAGUUAAUACUGGAUUUGCACCUUAAGUUGGAAAUUUAAAAUAUAAGAGAGCAUUUUGGUACUAAGGGGUUCACUGUUGAGUUAUCUGCAAUAUCAAAAAUAAAGACCACUGUGCCGGGGCUGAUGACAACCUCUUUAUGGUGGCUUCUCUCCAGUCCACACAGGGAUCCUUCAUUAUGCACCAGCUGCAUGUCCAUCAGAAGAUAGGUGGGUCUUCCCGAUGCCCCAUUUCUUAGACCCAUUGCAGAUAAGACUCCUACAAUGGAGCUUAUGCUUGUUUACCAGCUAUUAUGGAGAGAGGCUGCUUUAGUUUCUUUUCCUCUUCUGGCUGAUACAAUUACACUUCAAGUGUCUCUCCUCUCAUCUAAAUUUCCACCUGGAAAGAGGGGGACGGCAUAGAGGAGGUGGAGGAAAGAACAAUUGCCCAGCCCAGCACAGGUCAAGCAUUCCCCAGGCUGGAGAGAAAUGAACGCGUGAGAGCUGUGCUCAGAAACAAGAGUCCUGGCUUCUAGUCUGGCUCUGUCGUUACCUGUGGGAUUUUAAGCAAGACCUUUUCUCUCUGGGCCUCAGCUUUUCCCUCUAUAAGAAGAGGCAGUUAGAUGAGAUGGUUGAUAUUCUCUGAUUUUAUGAAUGGCCAGAUAUUUGUCCUUUCCUGGAAGUAAGGAUGGAAGGAAGAAGGGAAGAGGAAAAGGAGAUGAAGGCUUUAUGGGGAAGUAGCUUCCGGGCAGCAUGAGGAAAGCCAUAGAAAGAGUGUGGAGGGGGCAAAAGACACACGUUCAGGGCUACUGCAGGUGGGAAGGUAGCUCUCAACUCCCAUCUUCCUGGUUCUGGGCCACACUCCCACAUAUACUGGCAACAUAAUUUAAAUAGAUUUUGGAAAGCUUUUAUUUACUUUUAGCUGGGUGUAUUGGCAUGCAACUGCAAUCCCAGCAACUUAGGACGCUUGAGCCCAGGAGUUUGAGACCAGCUUGGGGAACAUAGUAAGACACCUAUCUCUACAAAAAAAAAAAAAAAAAAAAAUUUAGCUAGGUGUGGUGGUGCACAUCUGCAGUCUUAGCUAUUCAGAAGGUUGAGGCAGGAGGAUAGCUUGGGCCCAGGAGGUUGAGUCUGCAGUGAGCUAUGAUUGUGCCACUGCACUCCAGUGUGGGUGACAGAGUGAGACCCUGUCUGUAAACAACAACAACAACAACAAAAGACCUGCCUGGGCAAUAUAGCAAGACCUCCAACUCAAAAAGAAAGAAAGAAAAGCUUUUAUUUACUUUUAUGUAAUAAAAUCAUUCGGUGUUCUUUUCUAAAAUAUUGGAAAACACAGAGAAACAGCAAUGAAUCUAGGACAACAAUCUUCAAACUUCUUCUUCUUUUUUUUUUUUUUUUUUGAGAUGGAGUCUC